GACGAACGCUGGCGGCGUGCUUAACACAUGCAAGUCGAACGGUAAGGCCCUUCGGGGUACACGAGUGGCGAACGGGUGAGUAACACGUGGGUGAUCUGCCCUGCACUUCGGGAUAAGCCUGGGAAACUGGGUCUAAUACCGGAUAGGACCCUGGGAUGCAUGUCCUGGGGUGGAAAGCUUUUGCGGUGUGGGAUGGGCCCGCGGCCUAUCAGCUUGUUGGUGGGGUGAUGGCCUACCAAGGCGACGACGGGUAGCCGGCCUGAGAGGGUGACCGGCCACACUGGGUGUAAGAUACGGGCCAGACUCCUACGGGAGGCAGCAGUGGGGAAGAUUGCACAAUGGGCGCAAGCCUGAUGCAGCGACGCCGCGUGAGGGAUGACGGCCUUCGGGUUGUAAACCUCUUUCAGCACCGACGAAGCGCAAGUGACGGUAGGUGCAGAAGAAGGACCGGCCAACUACGUGCCAGCCGCCGCCGUAA
rnacentral:rRNA from 1 species